rnacentral:pre_miRNA from 1 species
AAAGUACUCCCUCCGUCCCAAAAUUCUUGUCUUAGAUUUGUCUAGAUACAGAUGUAUCAAGUCACAUUUUAGUUUUAGAUACAUCCAUAUCUAGACAAAUCUAAGACAAGAAAUUUGGGACAGAGGGAGUAGUUG